AGAAAUUGGUGUAGUCAGCAGGAUCAGCGAGAGGCGAGAGGUUGACGGUUCCGAGUGUCGAAAGGGACUUGGUGUGGUCCUGUCCACCGUGCUUGGUUCCCUUUGGGGAGUGCUGCGCACAAACAAGACAGCUGGAACAAAGGUUUUGGGUGGAACUGGACUCUUCCAAAAAGAUAGAACCUCCACAUAUGAAUUUCAUGAUGUUUCCUGAAAAGACUCCUUUAAAUCAGAUUUUCCAUGACAAUGACUGGGAUAAAUAUAUUGAGGACGUGGAAGCCAUCUUUGCUAGAUUGCAGGUGACACUGGAUUCUUACAGAAAGAUGCGAGAUCCAGAUGUGAAUUUUAAGAUUGUUCGUCAAACCUCUUUUACUAAUAAUGAUGUUUCAUAUGAAAAUGAUGCGGAUCAACUGAUUGAGGAGGUGGAAGCCG